GUCUAUGUAGUAUAUUUAUUACACUGGUCUUGUAAACCAGGAAUGGGGAAACAAACCAUUCCCCCACAGACU
rnacentral:tRNA from 1 species